rnacentral:rRNA from 1 species
GAUGAACGCUAGCGGCAGGCCUAAUACAUGCAAGUCGGACGGGAUUCAGGAGCUUGCUUCUGAUGAGAGUGGCGCACGGGUGCGUAACACGGAUGUAACCUACCUUUAUCAGGGGGAUAGCCUCUCGAAAGAGAGAUUAAGCCCGCAUAAAAUCACAGCACAGCAUUGUGUAAUGAUCAAAUAUUUAUAGGAUAAAGAUGGGCACGCGGAACAUUAGCUAGAUGGCGGGGUAACGGCCCACCAUGGCGACGAUGUUUAGGGGAUCUGAGAGGAUGGCCCCCCACACUGGUACUGAGACACGGACCAGACUCCUACGGGAGGCAGCAGUAAGGAAUAUUGGUCAAUGGGCGGAAGCCUGAACCAGCCAUGCCGCGUGCAGGAAGACGGCCCUACGGGUUGUAAACUGCUUUUAUACGGGAAUAAACCCAGAUACGUGUAUCUGGCUGAAUGUACUGGAAGAAUAAGGAUCGGCUAACUCCGUG